rnacentral:rRNA from 1 species
GAUGAACGCUGGCGGCGUGCCUAAUACAUGCAAGUCGAGCGAACAGACGAGGAGCUUGCUCCUCUGACGUUAGCGGCGGACGGGUGAGUAACACGUGGAUAACCUACCUAUAAGACUGGGAUAACUUCGGGAAACCGGAGCUAAUACCGGAUAAUAUAUUGAACCGCAUGGUUCAAUAGUGAAAGACGGUUUUGCUGUCACUUAUAGAUGGAUCCGCGCCGCAUUAGCUAGUUGGUAAGGUAACGGCUUACCAAGGCGACGAUGCAUAGCCGACCUGAGAGGGUGAUCGGCUACACUGGAACUGAGACACGGUCCAGACUCCUACGGGAGGCAGCAGUAGGGAAUCUUCCGCAAUGGGCGAAAGCCUGACGGAGCAACGCCGCGUGAGUGAUGAAGGUCUUCGGAUCGUAAAACUCUGUUAUUAGGGAAGAACAAAUGUGUAAGUAACUAUGCACGUCUUGACGGUACCUAAUCAGAAAGCCACGGCUAACUACGUG